rnacentral:tRNA from 1 species
ACUGGGCUGGCUCAGUCAGUAGAGCAUGUGACUCUUGAUUUCAGGUUGUGAGUUCAAGUCCCACGUUGGGUA